CCCAGUUCUGAAACAGACUGUGCAAACAUAUUGUUGCGAGGCUACUUUGGGUGGAAUUCACUAUGUGCUCUCCAGGUCCUCAAUCAAGUUUUUCCAAAGGUAUUAUUCUUCUAGUUGAAAAUGCCUUUUGCCUUAAAAGGAUUUAGGUGACCAUACUAUCAAAACUCUAAUGGUACCCUAGAUGUACUUGGUAGUGUCAACUAUGAAAAUAUUUUGGGGAACAUGUUUGACAUCAAUAAUGCUCAAGACAGUAUAAGCUAGUGGAUGUUUUCUUGUGAAAAUUGGUUUCUUUGCAAGGUCAACCAAAGGAUAGACCUUAAAAGAUGAGAUGUCUCCAUAAUUUAAUUUUGUAUGCUGGUGAUUCUCUCUUGACUCUCAAGUUCUUGUGUGAUUACCAAUUGAAAUUUGGAUGGACAUGCACAUAUACAUUAGUAUAAUUUGGGACAGUAAUUUCCAUACCUAUGUAGAUGUUAGUAAUCUUGAUGUCCUUGUUAUUUAUCAAGGCUGAAUUACUUUCUUCCGUUAGCCUUCCAUAAGAACUUAAUGUAGACAGUGAAAAAUGGAUUCUAGUUUGUAUCAAUAUUGAUAACUCUCUGAUAUUUAUGAAAAAAAAAAUAAUUAUGAUUUGACUCCAAACACUACUUUUCUUGGUUCUGGGAUGCUACCAUACAAUGAGGAAAACAUUUGUGGAAACAUAAGGUGCCCUGAGCCACGUCUUGAAUGUGUUGUUUUCCUGGUUUUCUAAUAAUGUGAAUUCUAACUCAAGUUUUCCUUCUUAAACUAGUCAUUUUUUUAGCGAGCUAGUUAGAACAAAUGAGUUAUGCCAAAGAUGCUCAGAUGCUUGUGUAAAGCUUGGCCGAGAAAUGGGUGUGAAGGUUGUUGAUCUUUUUACUGCACUUCAGAAAAGAGAUGAUUGGGUGGAUGCUUGAUUCAUAGAUGGGAUUCAUUUAUCAGCUGAAGGGAGCAAGAUAGGUGUUGAAGAGAUACUAAAGGUGAUCAAGGAAGCUGACUGGGAGCCAUGUCUACACUGGAAGUCCAUGCCAACUGAAUUUGCAGAGGAUUCACCAUACGAUCUUGUUGCCGCUGAUGGAAAGACAACAUUAAAUCCAUCAGAAUGGACUUUCUACAGGGAGCAUCAGUGGGACUAAGAUAUGUCAUUUGCUUUCAUUUCCAUGUAGAAAGACAAGUAACAAGAUAGAAAGCAGGGAGAGGGGUUAUCGUUAUUGCAAUUGUUUCUUUUAAAGCACACUUAAACUGGAUUAUUUCAUGUUCAAUUUAAUUUUAAAAGGUCACAUUUUAAAUUGGCACAUUGGCAGUGUUAUUUGGAAAGAAGUUUGUCCCUAGUCCACUCUACCCCUUUAUGUUAUUAUAGAAUAUCUCUGCCAAAAUCAUCAAAGUUAGAUAUCUUUUCCUGAAUUUUUUUCCCCUUGUCUUAUCUUUCUUAGUUGUUUUUAUAAAUGAAUAGAAUAGAGUGCGAGUGUCACUACGAUGGGUGGUUGACCACCACGAGGCAUCGACAGAGUCGAUGGAUAGGCCCAGUUCUUGCAACUGAUUUUUGCAAAGUGGUGCACACUGUAAACCACCAUUAUUUUGGUAAAGUGAGUGCAAGCGCAUUAAUAUAUUAAUACAUGUGGGUGGCAUAAUAAGUGAUCUUGGUGUAGAUUUUUAGGAUCACAUUAAGGGUGGUGAUAGCAAACUGCAUUUUUCAAUUAAUGUCAAGUUGUGUUGCACUGUUGUUGUUUUACUUCACCUUAUUUUGUCUGGGCUAAUUGACAAGCAUUUGGUCACAAUGAGAAUUUUUUACACUUUGCCACCAGGAGGUCACCUUUGUUCAAUAGGUUGAUUGUUUUGAGUAUAAAUGCAGGUUCCUAGCAAGUUUGCUGUUGCCGCUGCCCCUGUUGCAGCAGCUGCUUCUGGUGGUGCCCCUACCGCUGUUGCAAAGGAGGAAGAGAAGAAG